rnacentral:rRNA from 1 species
UAUUAGUUUGAUCAUGGCUCAGAAUCCAACGCUGGCGGCGUGCCUAACACAUGCAAGUCGCACGAGAAAGUGGAGCAAUCCAUGAGUAAAGUGGCGCACGGGUGAGUAACACGUGAAUUAUCUACCUCCGAGUGGGGAAUAACCUGGAGAAAUCCGGGCUAAUACCGCAUAACACUUACGAGUCAAAGCAGCAAUGCGCUUGGAGAGGAGUUCGCGGCCGAUUAGUUAGUUGGUGGGGUAAUGGCCUACCAAGACGAUGAUCGGUAUCCGGCCUGAGAGGGCGCACGGACACACUGGAACUGAAACACGGUCCAGACUCCUACGGGAGGCAGCAGUGGGGAAUUUUGCGCAAUGGGGGAAACCCUGACGCAGCAACGCCGCGUGGAGGAUGAAAUCCCUUGGGAUGUAAACUCCUUUCGAUCGGGACGAUUAUGACGGUACCGGAAGAAGAAGCCCCGGCUAACUUCGUGCCAGCAGCCGCGGUAAUACGAGGGGGGCAAGCGUUGUUCGGAAUUAUUGGGCGUAAAGGGCGCGUAGCGGUUUGACAAGUCUGAUGUGAAAUCUCUG